rnacentral:rRNA from 1 species
GAUGAACGCUGGCGGCGUGCCUAAUACAUGCAAGUCGAGCGAACGGACGAGAAGCUUGCUUUUCUGAUGUUAGCGGCGGACGGGUGAGUAACACGUGGAUAACCUACCUAUAAGACUGGGAUAACUUCGGGAAACCGGAGCUAAUACCGGAUAAUAUUUUGAACCGCAUGGUUCAAAAGUGAAAGACGGUCUUUCUGUCACUUAUAGAUGGAUCCGCGCUGCAUUAGCUAGUUGGUAAGGUAACGGCUUACCAAGGCAACGAUGCAUAGCCGACCUGAGAGGGUGAUCGGCCACACGGGAACUGAGACACGGUCCAGACUCCUACGGGAGGAAGCAGUAGGGAAUCUUCCGCAAUGGGCGAAAGCCUGACGGAGCAACGCCGCGUGAGUGAUGAAGGUCUUCGGAUCGUAAAACUCUGUUAUUAGGGAAGAACAUAUGUGUAAGUAACUGUGCACAUCUUGACGGUACCUAAUCAGAAAGCCGCGGCUAACUACGUG